rnacentral:rRNA from 1 species
AAGCUCGUAGUUGAAUUUCGGGAUCAAAUUGUCGGUCGUGCCUCGGUACGUACUGGCGUUAUUGGUUCCUCCCUUCUGAAGAACCACGAUGUCGUUAAUUUGGUGUCGCGGGGAAUCAGGACUGUUACUUUGAAAAAAUUAGAGUGUUUAAAGCAGGCUCGCGCUUGAAUACAUUAGCAUGGAAUAAUGAAAUAGGACGUUCGAUUCUAUUUUGUUGGUUUCUAGGAUCGACGUAAUGAUUAAUAGGGAUAGUUGGGGGCAUUAGUAUUCAAUUGUCAGAGGUGAAAUUCUUGGAUUUAUUGAAGACUAACUACUGCGAAAGCAUUUGCCAAGGAUGUUUUCAUUAAUCAAGAACGAAAGUUAGGGGAUCGAAGACGAUCAGAUACCGUCGUAGUCUUAACCAUAAACUAUGCCGACUAGGGAUCGGAUGAUGUUAAUUUUUUAAUGACUCAUUCGGCGCCUUACGGGAAACCAAAGUGUUUGGGUUCCGGGGGGAGUAUGGUCGCAAGGCUGAAACUUAAAGGAAUUGACGGAAGGGCACCACCAGGGGUGGAGCCUGCGGCUUAAUUUGACUCAACACGGGGAAACUCACCAGGUCCAGACAUAGUAAGGAUUGACAGAUUGAGAGCUCUUUCUUGAUUCUAUGGGUG